rnacentral:rRNA from 1 species
AGUGAACGCUGGCGGUAGGCCUAACACAUGCAAGUCGAACGGCAGCACAGUAAGAGCUUGCUCUUACGGGUGGCGAGUGGCGGACGGGUGAGGAAUACAUCGGAAUCUACUUUUUCGUGGGGGAUAACGUAGGGAAACUUACGCUAAUACCGCAUACGACCUACGGGUGAAAGCAGGGGAUCUUCGGACCUUGCGCGAUUGAAUGAGCCGAUGUCGGAUUAGCUAGUUGGCGGGGUAAAGGCCCACCAAGGCGACGAUCCGUAGCUGGUCUGAGAGGAUGAUCGGCCACACUGGAACUGAGACACGGUCCAGACUCCUACGGGAGGCAGCAGUGGGGAAUAUUGGACAAUGGGCGCAAGCCUGACCCAGCAAUACCGCGUGGGUGAAGAAGGCCUUCGGGUUGUAAAGCCCUGUUGUUGGGAAAGAAAAGCAGCAGGUUAAUACCCGGCUGUUCUGACGGUACCCAAAGAAUAAGCACCGGCUAACUUCGUG